UACGGAGGGGCUAGCGUUGUUCGGAAUUACUGGGCGUAAAGCGCGCGUAGGCGGCUUUGUAAGUUAGAGGUGAAAGCCCGGAGCUCAACUCCGGAACUGCCUUUAAGACUGCAUCGCUAGAAUUGUGGAGAGGUGAGUGGAAUUCCGAGUGUAGAGGUGAAAUUCGUAGAUAUUCGGAAGAACACCAGUGGCGAAGGCGACUCACUGGACACAUAUUGACGCUGAGGUGCGAAAGCGUGGGGAGCAAACAGG
rnacentral:rRNA from 1 species